GUGGGGAAUAUUGGACAAUGGGGGAAACCCUGAUCCAGCCAUGCCGCGUGAGUGAAGAAGGCCUUAGGGUUGUAAAGCUCUUUCACCCGUGAAGAUGAUGACGGUAGCGGGAGAAGAAGCCCCGGCUAACUCCGUGCCAGCAGCCGCGGUAAUACGGAGGGGGCUAGCGUUGUUCGGAAUUACUGGGCGUAAAGCGCGCGUAGGCGGUAUGCAAAGUUAGGCGUGAAAGCCCUGGGCUCAACCCAGGAAUUGCGCUUGAUACUGGCAAACUAGAGUCCGGGAGAGGGUGGCGGAAUUCCCAGUGUAGAGGUGAAAUUCGUAGAUAUUGGGAAGAACACCAGUGGCGAAGGCGGCCACCUGGACCGGUACUGACGCUGAGGUGCGAAAGCGUGGGGAGCAAACAGG
rnacentral:rRNA from 1 species